AUAAAAUAACUAUGAUGUACGUAACAUAAAUUUUAAACACACAAAUAUUAAAAAAAAUUAUAAAAAAUACAUUUUCUUUUCUUUUUUUUUCCUUCCUUCCCUCUUCUUCUUCUUUUUUUUUUCUCUUCUCCUUUUUAUUUCUUUCCUUCUUUCUUUCUUUUUUCUUCUCCUUUCCUUUUCUUCUUCUUUCUUUCUUUCUUUUUUUCUCUUCUCCUUUCCUUUUCUUUCCUUCUUUUUCUUUCUUUCUUUCUUUCUUUCCCUCUCCUUCUGGUCCCCCCCAUCGACCCCCCUAAUAAACAUUGGUGCCGCCAAUGGUAUUGGCACCAUUGGUGCCCGCCAAUGGCUUUGGCACCUUUGGUGCCGCCAAUCCCAUUGGCGUGACCAAGGUACACCCGUCACAUCGGUCAGAUUUUUUUUUCAGGUUUUUUUUGAUAUAUUUUGGUAAAUAAAAAAAUAUAUUUUUUGGUAAAU
rnacentral:lncRNA from 1 species